rnacentral:sRNA from 1 species
GCUGGGCAUGGUGGUGCACACCUGUAAUCCCAGCAAUUUGGGAGGCUUAGGUAGGAGGAUUACAAGUUUGAGGCUAGCCUCAGCAAUUUAAUGAUACCCUAUU